UAGGGAAUCUUCGGCAAUGGGGGGAACCCUGACCGAGCAACGCCGCGUGAGUGAAGAAGGUUUUCGGAUCGUAAAGCUCUGUUGUUAAGGAAGAACGAGUGUGAGAAUGGAAAGUUCAUGCUGUGACGGUACUUAACCAGAAAGGGACGGCUAACUACGUGCCAGCAGCCGCGGUAAUACGUAGGUCCCGAGCGUUGUCCGGAUUUAUUGGGCGUAAAGCGAGCGCAGGCGGUUAGAAAAGUCUGAAGUGAAAGGCAGUGGCUCAACCAUUGUAGGCUUUGGAAACUGUUUAACUUGAGUGCAGAAGGGGAGAGUGGAAUUCCAUGUGUAGCGGUGAACUGCGUAGAUAUAUGGAGAAACACCGGUGGCGAAAGCGGCUCUCUGGUCUGUAACUGACGCUGAGGCUCGAAAGCGUGGGGAGCGAACAGG
rnacentral:rRNA from 1 species